CCUACGGGUGGCAGCAGUGGGGAAUAUUGCACAAUGGGCGCAAGCCUGAUGCAGCGACGCCGCGUGAGGGAUGACGGCCUUCGGGUUGUAAACCUCUGUUAGCAGGGAAGAAGAGAGAUUGACGGUACCUGCAGAGAAAGCGCCGGCUAACUACGUGCCAGCAGCCGCGGUAAUACGUAGGGCGCGAGCGUUGUCCGGAAUUAUUGGGCGUAAAGAGCUUGUAGGCGGUUGGUCGCGUCUGCUGUGAAAGGCUGGGGCUUAACCCUGGUUUUGCAGUGGGUACGGGCUAACUAGAGUGCAGUAGGGGAGACUGGAAUUCCUGGUGUAGCGGUGGAAUGCGCAGAUAUCAGGAGGAACACCGAUGGCGAAGGCAGGUCUCUGGGCUGUAACUGACGCUGAGAAGCGAAAGCAUGGGGAGCGAACAGGAUUAGAUACCCUGGUAGUC
rnacentral:rRNA from 1 species